AUUGAACGCUGGCGGCAGGCCUAACACAUGCAAGUCGAGCGGAUGAAGGGAGCUUGCUCCUGGAUUCAGCGGCGGACGGGUGAGUAAUGCCUAGGAAUCUGCCUGGUAGUGGGGGAUAACGUCCGGAAACGGGCGCUAAUACCGCAUACGUCCUGAGGGAGAAAGUGGGGGAUCUUCGGACCUCACGCUAUCAGAUGAGCCUAGGUCGGAUUAGCUAGUUGGUGGGGUAAAGGCCUACCAAGGCGACGAUCCGUAACUGGUCUGAGAGGAUGAUCAGUCACCCUGGAACGGAGACACGGUCCAGACUCCUACGGGAGGCAGCAGUGGGGAAUAUUGGACAAUAGGCGAAAGCCUGAUCCAGCCAUGCCGCGUGUGUGAAGAAGGUCUUCGGAUUGUAAAGCACUUUAAGUUGGGAGGAAGGGCAGUAAGUUAAUACCUUGCUGUUUUGACGUUACCAACAGAAUAAGCACCGGCUAACUUCGUG
rnacentral:rRNA from 1 species